rnacentral:rRNA from 1 species
UACGGGGGGGGUAAGCGCUGUUCGGAAUUACUGGGCGUAAAGAGCUCGUAGGCGGCUUGUCACGUCGGGUGUGAAAGCCCGGGGCUUAACCCCGGGUCUGCAUUCGAUACGGGCAGGCUAGAGUGUGGUAGGGGAGAUCGGAAUUCCUGGUGUAGCGGUGAAAUGCGCAGAUAUCUGGAGGAACACCGGUGGCGAAGGCGGCAUCCUGGACCAACACUGACACUGAUGAGCGAAAGCCAGGGGAGCAAACGGG